GUGCAAAGGUAGCAUAAUCAUUAGGAGUUUAAUUGGAACCUGGUAUGAAGGGUUGGACAAAGGAAAGACUGUCUGAAUAAUAUAAAUUGAAAUUUACUUUUAAGUGAAAAGGCUUAAAUAAAUCAAAGGGACGAUAAGACCCUAUAAAGCUUUAUAAAUAAUUUAAACUUAGUUAAUUUAUAUUAUAAAAACUAAAUUUAACUAUUUUAUUUUAUUGGGGUGAUGUGAGUAUAAGUAUUAUUAACUGCUUAAAGAAAAUACUAGUUAGUAAUAGUAUUAAUAUAUUGAUGGUCCUUUUUAAAGAUUAGAAGAUUAAGUUACUUUAGGGAUAACAGCGUUAUUUUUUUUGAGAGUUCAUAUCGAAAAAAAAGAUUGCGACCUCGAUGUUGAAUUAAAAUAUCUAUAUAAUGAAGCCGUUAUAAAAGAGGGUCUGUUCGACCUUUAAAUUUUUACAUGAUUUGAGUUC
rnacentral:rRNA from 1 species